GACGAACGCUGGCGGCGUGCCUAAUACAUGCAAGUAGAACGCUGAAGGAGGAGCUUACUUCUCUGGAUGAGUUGCGAACGGGUGAGUAACGCGUAGGUAACCUGCCUGGUAGCGGGGGAUAACUAUUGGAAACGAUAGCUAACACCGCAUAGGAGUAGAUGUUGCAUGACAUUUACUUAAAAGGUGCAAUUGCACCACUACCAGAUGGACCUGCGUUGUAUUAGCUAGUUGGUGGGGUAACGGCUUACCAAGGCGACGAUACAUAGCCGACCUGAGAGGGUGAUCGGCCACACUGGGACUGAGACACGGCCCAGACUCCUACGGGAGGCAGCAGUAGGGAAUCUUCGGCAAUGGACGGAAGUCUGACCGAGCAACGCCGCGUGAGUGAAGAAGGUUUUCGGAUCGUAAAGCUCUGUUGUAAGAGAAGAACGAGUGUGAGAGUGGAAAGUUCACACUGUGACGGUAUCUUACCAGAAAGGGACGGCUAACUACGUGCCAGCCGCCGCAGUAA
rnacentral:rRNA from 1 species